rnacentral:rRNA from 1 species
UUAGAGUUUGAUCCUGGCUCAGGACGAACGCUGGCGGCGUGCUUAACACAUGCAAGUCUUACGAGAACGAGGUAGCAAUAUCUUUAGUAAAGUGGCGUACGGGUGCGUAACACGUAAGUAAUCUACCUUUGGGUUCGGAAUAACUUCGGGAAAUCGGAGCUAAUACCGGAUAAUGCAGCGGCACCGCAUGGUGAUGUUGUUAAAGUUUGUGUAAUGCCUAAAGAUGAACUUGCGUCUGAUUAGCUAGUUGGUGAGGUAAUGGCUCACCAAGGCUGCGAUCAGUAGCUGGUCUGAGAGGAUGAUCAGCCACACUGGAACUGAGACACGGUCCAGACUCCUACGGGAGGCAGCAGUGAGGAAUAUUGGGCAAUGCCCGAAAGGGUGACCCAGCAACGCCGCGUGGAGGAUGAAGGUCGUAAGAUUGUAAACUCCUGUUAGAGGGGAAGAAUAACUAAGUUUGGAGCUUAGUAUGACUGUACCCUCAGAGAAAGCCCCGGCUAACUACGUGCCAGCCGCCGCGGUAAUUCAA